CACGUGUCAGCAUUAUGGAUAGAGCUGUAUGGGCUACUGUUAACAAGCAUUGGAAUGAAUCCCAUACCAUUAUUGCAGGGGAGUUAGGAGCCCCUUUGUGUCUGCAUUCUGCUACUCCUAUUCAGGAAUCCACUGUUACAUUGUCUGUUCUAUUGAAACACAUUACUUUCUAUAUCACACAGUAAACACACACAUCGACACAGCUUUGUGAGAUGUGUGCACACUGACUGUAAGUAAAUAGAGAAAUCCCCCAGGGCAUUGUUUACUGGGUCCUUAUGCACAAUUUGCUGCAAAUACAUCUUAAUACUGUAAGUUACUGCUUUAUCACCUUUUGUCUAAAUGUAUCCUGCAAUGUCAAUAUACACAACAGACACUGAAUUCUGGCUUUCUCUUCUUUGCUCUCAUAGAAAGCUGGCAAUACAAAGCAGGCAGACACUGGGAGAGAAUGCACUAAACAAGCUGGAAAAAUGGUGUUAGAGAGAAAACAAAGGAUGGAAAAAAAAUGUAAGUCACAUGCAGUGUAUCUUUAUAUGACUUUAUUAUAUAAUUCAAAUAGUAAACCUGCCUAUACUUUAUAUAAUUAAUAACAAACUGCACCCCACUAUACUAUAAUAACAAACUGCACCCCACUAUACUAUAAUAACAAACUGCACCCCACUAUACUGUAAUACCAUACUGCACCCCCACUAUACUAUAAUACCAUACUGCACCCCCACUAUACUAUAAUACCAUACUGCACCCCACUACACUAUACCAACAUACUGCACCCCACUAUACAAUAAUACCAUACUGCACCCCCACUAUACUAUAAUAACAAACUGCACCCCACUAUACUAUAAUACCAUACUGCACCCCACUAUACUAUAAUACAAUACUGCACCCCACUAUACUAUAAUACCAUAAUGCACCCCCACUAUACUAUACCAACAUACUGCACCCCACUAUACUAUACCAACAUACUGCACCCCACUACACUAUAAUACCAUACUGCACCCCACUAUACUAUAAUACCAUACUGCACCCCCACUAUACUAUAAUAACAAACUGCACCCCCACUAUACUAUAAUACCAUACUGCACCCCACUAUACUAUAACAACAUACUGCACCCUACUACACUAUAAUAACAAACUGCACCCCACUAUACUAUAAUACCAUACUGCACCCCCACUAUACUAUAAUAACAUACUGCACCCCCACUAUACUAUAAUAACAAACUGCACCCCACUAUACUAUAAUAACAUACUGCACCCCCACUAUACUAUAAUAACAUACUGCACCCCCACUAUACUCUAAUAACAAACUGCACCCCCACUAUACUAUAAUAACAAACUGCACCCCACUAUACUAUAAUACCAUACUGCACCCCCACUAUACUAUAAUAACAAACUGCACCCCACUAUACUAUAAUAACAAACUGCACCCCACUAUACUAUAAUACCAUUCUGCACCCCACUAUACUAUAAUACCAUACUGCACCCCCACUAUACUAUAAUAACAAACUGCACCCCACUAUAUUAUAAUAACAAACUGCACCCCACUAUACUAUAAUAACAAACUGCACCCCACUAUACUAUAAUACUAUUUCAGCACCCCACUAUACUAUAAUGUACCAUUCUGCACCCCACUAUACUACAUAUAUAAUACCAUACUGCACAAAUCUACUAUACUAUAAUAACAAACUGCACCCUACCAUAUUAUAAUAACAAACUGCACCCUCUACUAUACUAUAUAUAAUAACAAACUGCACCCCUACUAUAUUGUUAAUACCAUACUGCACCCCUACUAUACUAUAUAAACAACAAACUGCACCCUACUCAUACUCAUAUACCAAAUAACAUACUGCACCCCACUAUACUAUAAUACCAUACUGCACCUCCUUACUCAUACUAUAAUACCAUACUGCACCCCAUUAUACACAAUACCAUACUGCACCCCACUAUACUAUAAUAAUACCAUACUGCACCCCACUAUACUACUAUAAUACCAUACUGCACCCCACCACCAUACCAACAUACUGCACCCCCACUAUAUACUAUAAUAACAUACUGCACCCCACUAUACUAUAAUACCAUUCUGCACCCCACUAUACUAUAAUACCAUACUGCACCCCCACUAUACUAUAAUAACAUACUGCACCCCAUUAAACUAUAAUAACAAACUGCACCCCACUAUACUAUAAUACCAUACUGCACCCCCAUUAUACUAUAAUAACAAACUGCACCCCACUAUACUAUAAUACCAUACUGCACCCCACUAUACUAUACCAACAUACUGCACCCCGCUAUACUAUAAUACCAUACUGCACCCCACUAUACUAUAAUACCAUACUGCACCCCCACUAUACUAUAAUAACAAACUGCACCCCACUAUACUAUAAUACCAUUCUGCACCCCACUAUACUAUAAUACCAUACUGCACAACCACUAUACUAUAAUAACAAACUGCACCCCACUAUAUUAUAAUAACAAACUGCACCCCACUAUACUAUAAUAACAAACUGCACCCCACUAUACUAUAAUACCAUACUGCACCC